GCCUCUGUGGCUGAGUGGUCAAGAGCACUGAUUCUCAACCUGGAGGUGCUGGGUUCGAAUCCCGGCCAGGGCG
rnacentral:tRNA from 1 species